rnacentral:rRNA from 1 species
UACGUAGGGUGCAAGCGUUAAUCGGAAUUACUGGGCGUAAAGCGUGCGCAGGCGGUUGUGCAAGUCAGAUGUGAAAUCCCCGGGCUCAACCUGGGAACUGCAUUUGUGACUGCACGGCUGGAGUGCGGCAGAGGGGGAUGGAAUUCCGCGUGUAGCAGUGAAAUGCGUAGAUAUGCGGAGGAACACCGAUGGCGAAGGCAGCCCCCUGGGCCAACACUGACGCUCAGGCACGAAAGCGUGGGGAGCAAACAGG